GAGUUGCACCAAAGAUCUAAAGUAGUUGUGCGCGUGAAGAAUAGUGUAAUAACAGUACAGAGAGCAGUAACAAGUGUCCGCCUCUCUUCUUUGCAGUCUAUGAUAAAGAUUACCACUGCUUACUGAAGAAUAUUAUCACAUUCCCACCUCCACCUGGGUUUUAGACAUAAUGGCAGUCUAUCCUUAAUGGAGAAAACAGCCGUUCCAGUUCUUGGUUGGUCAUUCACAGAUUUUUUUCCCUUCUACUCUUUGAUAUGUGGCUAAUUCUUUCUUUCUAGUUUCACUCUAAUCUUUUCGUAUUGUGCUUGUUUUAUCGCUUUUCGUCUUUUUUUCAAUUUUUUUAAAAAUAAAUUUUAAAUCUCAUCCUUCUUCCGCCAUUUCUUCUUCUCUUCGAUUCAAUAUCUUAAACUGUUUUUCAAAUAUCACUUACUAAUCGAAGAAUGGCUACAAAAACAGGGUCCAAUCUCCAAAGUAAUAUAUUUCAUAUUGUGAUCCCCGAUUUCCUUGUCAUCCAUAACUUACGUAUUACAGCAUCUCUCUCUACUCUGUCUCUUCUUUUCUAUUAUUUCCCCAACCAAUUUUCAGCAAUUAAUGCUCAUUAUAAAUUGUUAAUGACAAUCUUAAAUAGCAAACGAGUGAUGAUGUAUUUACUUCUAUUUACUUCGUUUCCCUUAAUUCUAGCUGCAGUAACUACCCACUAUAUUUCGCGUUUGUAUCUAAACUAUAUAAAUCGUAGGCUUCCACUUAUUUAUUAACGUCUUUUAAAAGUGUGAAGAAAUAAAAAUGCUGCAGCUGUCGAAGAAUGAUGCCAAGCAAACAUACCUUGCAAACUUGCUUUAUUAGCUUUAAUCUCAUUAAUCUAUGUUACUGAAAAUCUCUCUCUCUUCAGUUUAUCUACCACAUCAAAACAUAAACACCUUUCUGUAUACAUAUAAACAUAUGUAUAUUAGAUAAUUUGUUGUUUUUGAAUCUGAUCAUAUGGGAAGAGAUAAAGAGAGCGAUCACAAUAUCUUCUAUCUUCUCUUGCUCUUAAUUGAAUGGGGGAGGGGAACAGAAUGUUAUAUCCAUGGUAACCUUUUCUACAUUGUCCAUAUACACUUAUUUUAGGUUCUUUGGGUUUUUUGUUUUGUUUCGUUUUUCUGCAUUUGCAUCAAAUUUAAAAAAAAAAGAAUUAUGUAUUAUAACUGACGAGCACUAUUGGGAAAAAGAUAAGUACCCAGUAUAUCGAUUCUGUGAGCCGGUUUCGAUUCUCGAUGAAGUGGUUGCACUGCACUUAGUUGUGUCGUCACAACUCUCCACUUGGUUUUCCCUUAAAGAGUCUUGGACCGAAAUCACUUAUAAUAGUGGAUAAAGUGUAAGUUCCCAAUUUACUGAGGCGACAACCCGACUUUGGUUCAAAGUUCGAAUCACUACCUCAUUAAUAUUUUUUUUUAAAGAAUAGGACGUCUCCACCCUUAUAGUCUCACCUGUAAUUUUGGAACUUCGUGGUAGAAACAGUAUAGUAUUGGAUUGCAUACUUUCAGCGUUUAGAUACAUUCUUUUAUGUCCCGAGUUCAAAUCCCGCUGGAGUAGUGGUAUUGGUUUAAUCGAUUUUAUUCUUUCCAUAUAGAUUUGUGGCCUUGUGCCAAAAUUAUCAGCCGUUAGUAUGACAGGCAUGGUUGCGUACCCCUAGUAAAUGCUUGCUGGUGUUUAGUUUCAUUAUUCAAAGUUUGAAUUCAGUUCUUACUGGGAUUAACUUUCGCUUUCAUUCGUCUGAAAUUAAUGAAAUAAAAUACUAGGCAACUCUUGGAAGGCAUUCAAUCGAAUAUACAAGUGUUGCAUUGUCUCAUAGUAAGAACUCAUAAUUUCUGAAUCGGGGCAAGUGUUGAUAGUACACACAGUAGAGGGUUUUAUAGUGUUCUGUUAGUAGAUAAUUUAUUUGGAGGAAUGAAAAGGUAAAGUGACCCCCUCAGGGAUCUGAACCAGCUAUAAGGAAAGUAAAUCAUCCAGUUCCACUCUGUAACUGUCCUUCUUUACAGAUAUGUCUUGUGACUAGGCAAUAGAAAUCAUUACUAUUUACCUAUUGGGAAUUUAUAUUCAUCUAUUGGUGAUUGAUUAUUGAAGAAUAACUCAUCAUUCAUAUCUCAUUAGUCUUUCCAGUAGCUUCUCUUUGCUAAGGAGCACCAUAAAGGUAUGUAAGUAGAUCACGUCAAAAAACCUUCCAAAAAUGUCUCGCUUCCAAUUUAGGGUUGUUUACUCAUGACUAAAAGGAACAACAGGUCUGACCAACCCUACUAUAAGUGUCAGGAGGUUCUUUCCUGUGAAUAGCAAUAGGAUAUAUGAGUAUAAGUCUGUACGAAGCGCGAGAUUAUAUGUGAUGUAUACGUACAACACAGGUGAGUAUAUAUUGAAAACACGCAUACACACAUUAUUAAUGCUUAUUAAUGAGUUAGGAUAUUUCAAAGAACGACUGCUUUAUUUCAUCUCUAUAUCUUUUCCUUAAAUGAUACCGAUAUUGUAAAUGAAGAAGAAAAAAACAAAAACCAUGCUGCCCUUUUUUUUUUCUUCCACAAAUUCGCUAAAGAAGCAGGUGUAUCCGCUACGGAACAUUCUUCCUUCAUUAAAUAAACAAACCAUUUUGUAAGAGAUGAAGAAAAGGUGUGCUGUUCAUUAUUCGCUUCUUAAUUCUUAUUCAGUUCGCAGUAAACCUUUUGUUCGUUUUUAUCUAUUUAUCCCCGCUCGAAAAUUGUCUGGAAAGAUUUUAUAUUGGUUUAUCGAAUUCUCCAGAAAACGUCACUUUUUACCCAACUGUUCGUCGGUCCAUAAAUCCAGAUGACGAAAUGUUAACAUCUAUUUUCUGUUUAUAAUUUUCUUUUAAUGUAUUCAUUUUUUUACUGUUAUAACUAUUAUUAAGCUUAGAUAGUAUGUCGACAGUUCAGUCGAUACCCAGGCGAAGUAAUGACAGUAUGUAUGCAUUCAGUAUUGAAAACAUUACAAAUCUUUCACUUUCUUUAAUGAAAAUAGUUUGUAUGAAGCAGUGAAAGUUUAAGUGUUGUACUUUUUCGAUUUAUCUCAAAGUUUUGAAUUCGGUCCACAAAUAUUAGUGUAUACAUACAUGUUUCUAUGUGGAAUGGCAUUUUCAUCCUUAAAAAUGAAGCAACAGCUUUUCAAAUCUUACAGAAUCGUUCUUUCAGGAUUUUGUAUUAGUUGUAUAAUGAAAGAACGUUUUCUCAAUAUUUUCAAUACAAAGAAUGACCAGGUACAUAAAUAUAUUUCGCUCUUAUUUAAAGCUUUCACUUAAAGCUUAUUUAAAGCUUGCAUUUACAUUUUCAUCCUCAGGAACUGAAUCCCAGUAUUUCAUUUUUCCAGAAAUUAAAACAGUACAAUAUUUAUAGGCUUUCAUAAUUGAAUACACAUUACAUGAAUUAUUUUGCACCCGAAUGAUUUAUUUAUAAAGAAGAAAUUAUUUUGUUCCAGCACUGAGACAACAAAAUACUUCGUAGUUUUGUUCUUGAUUUCGAAUUCACAUUCCUCUGGGGGUAUAUAAAUUAAAUAUCAGUAAGAGUUCAGUAGAUUAUAAAUCAACUACCGAAGUCGAUCUUGUGUCGUUGUAAGAAAUCGUUACGCUUUGAGAGAUAUAGAAUGGAAAAGAUGGGCUACUGGAAAACUUUUUUUUUUUUUUUUUUUUGCUUUUUAAAGAUUAUAAGAAUGGCUAGGCUUGUCUUCGAUCCGAGUGACUGAACUGAUCCUUCAGUUUAGGUUUAUAUGGAAGAUUCACUCAUUCACACGAAUUUUAAGAAGUAUACUGCCCAACGUUAGAGUGUUUUUUUUUCCUUUUCUAAAUAGUUUAUUACAUCAUUUAUUAUUAUACCAUUCAUUCAUUCAUAGCUAUCCAUCUACUUAAUUGUAAUAUAUGCAUUAUUUCAUGUGCAUAUUCAAUGAAAUAAAUUAUAUUUUAAAUAUUUACAUCACUCAUUAUUAUGAUUCUUUACUUGUUGGAGAUGGCUGAGAUUAUUGUGUCGGACAAAUUUUAGCUCCAGUAUCAAUUUCUAAUUGAUGCUACUCAUCUUCUUUUUUGUCACUAAUAUUCUUUCCAAACGUUUACUUUCCAAUCUCCCACUCUCCUUUGAAAAAAAAAAAAAAAAAAGCAAACUAAUUUUUUGUAAUUUCUCCCCUCUCGAUUUUGAGUUCGAACUGUGCCGGUGGUUUUCAAUCUCUUGAUUAUUAUUAUUAUACUCGAAAUUUGAUCUUCUACAUAUUUGAAAGAAAGAAUUCACAAAUAUCAUUCCAUAAGUUUUUCC
rnacentral:lncRNA from 1 species